UGGGGAAUAUUGGGCAAUGGGCGAAAGCCUGACCCAGCAACGCCGCGUGAAGGAAGAAGGCCUUCGGGUUGUAAACUUCUUUUAUCAGGGACGAAGGAAGUGACGGUACCUGAUGAAUAAGCCACGGCUAACUACGUGCCAGCAGCCGCGGUAAUACGUAGGUGGCAAGCGUUAUCCGGAUUUACUGGGUGUAAAGGGCGCGUAGGCGGGGAUGCAAGUCAGAUGUGAAAUCUAUGGGCUCAACCCAUAAACUGCAUUUGAAACUGAAUCCCUUGAGUAUCGGAGAGGCAGGCGGAAUUCCUAGUGUAGCGGUGAAA
rnacentral:rRNA from 1 species